UCGAGUUGACUGUAUUGUAUUUGUGGGAUGGUUCGAUUGAAAUUGAGAUAUUAAAGUUCCGAAGAAUUUGGUUUUCUUUCAAAUUUGGUAUUUACGUAAUUUAGCAAUUGCAUCAAGUAGGAACUUUUCCAGAGUGCAUAUAACAAUAGGUGAUCAAAAUCUUUGUUUGAUUUUAAUAAGGAAUAUUCUUAGCAGUUCCCAGAUAACUAAGAUUAUACCAGAGGAAGAUUCUGCAGUAGAAUUAAGGUUAAUGAAAGGAAUUAACACUUGCAAACUUAACAUUAAGAUUAUUCCUUCAGAAAGUCUCUGGGAAGAACGAUUGUCUUUGAUGAUUCGACUUGCUAAUGAAAUCAGUGAAACCAGCAAAUGUUUGACACAGUUGAAAGAUAAAAAUCAGAACUCCAGUGGUUCUGUAAAUUUUCAAAUGCCUGUCUUGCCUUGUCAUGUUAAAAGUAAAAAUGAAAGCUCCAGCAAGGGAUUUGUACGUAAAAAAAAACUGAGUGUGAUCAAUCCCUCAAGUAAGAAGGUGAAGUCAGCCUGUGGAGCAAAGUUUGAAUAAGUGCAGGGUGUGUGUAUAUAUAUACACACAUUUCAAUCAAAUAAGUAACACACACACACACAUGUGUAUAUAUAUAUAUAUAUAUGCAGCCUUUAUUUAUUUACUUUUUUGCACAUUUUAAUUUAGUCAUUUAAGGGGGGGAAAAUAAGUGCAUGAAAUUUAGUUUUUUUGUAUAAGUAUAUGCCACUUUAAUUACAAAUUAUAAAUAUUUGUAGCCAACUCUUUAUAUAUAUUGUGAUAGUUGUUGGGCUGUUAUUUAAACACUUGCAGAUAAAAGAAAAGUAUUAACACU